rnacentral:lncRNA from 1 species
CUUGACCAGUCUGGCACAGCUGCUGGGAGUUGCCAAGCCCGGCCGAGGCAUAGGCCCUUUGUCUGUGGGGCCAGUCAAGUGGAAAAUGGCCACUACAGAGCCCACUUCAGAGAGCCGUCACCCUUUGAAGGGGAUUGAUGGCCUUUGACAGCCACAGUGUUAACAUGGAGCACAUAGGAACACAGCACGGCUAUUAUUGUGUUUACCAGUGCAGGGGGAGAAAAGAGAGGAUAAAGGGGAGACCCCCUUGGUUGAUAUUUGCAGCCAACAGAGACAAGGGGCUUGUCUUACGGACAAGCAUCACAGACCGAUGACAUAUGAUAACUGACAGCCAGGUAUAGCUGUAUAUCAUAUUUGCAUAAUAUCUGCUGCUCCAUUGGUACUGUAAACAAACCACUCGUCUGCUGAAUAAUAUGUCCUCAACCAGGCCAUCAUAGUAAUAUUAGGGACAGUUCGAAAACAAAUGCACCGCCCCUUCCCAAGGUAAAAAAUAUCUUCACAUGACCCCCCCCACCCCGCACUGUAAAUGAAAUGAAAUGUGCACCCCCCCUUGUUGAAUUAGCUCAAAAUAAUGUUUACGACCACAAAUAACAAUAACUGUACCAACCUUGUGUUUAUAAAUGUGGAUAUCGACUUUUCCACUUCAGCAUGUUUUUGUAGUGGCACAAUUGAUGCCACACAGGGUUACGGGCCAGAAGGUUGAUGGUUCUUCGACCACUCACUCUCUCUGCCUGUGUCAUUACACUACGAUCAAAGCCGGCUGCAGACAAUGAUUUUCAACAUUUUGAUGGUAUAUUUAUAAUUACAGUGAGCUCCAAAAGUAUUGUUGUUUUGGCUCUGUAAUCUAGAGCUUUGGAUUUGAAUGAUACAAUGACUAUGAGUUUAAAGUGCAGGCUGUCAGCUUUAAUUUGAGGAUAUUUUCAAGUUUCUACUGUCACAAGCUUGAUGUAGUCAUUGCAUGCUAGGAAUAUGAGACCAAAUACUUAACUUUUUACUAUUUUAAUAGUAAUACUUUUGGUCCCCUGAAAUGGUGGGACAAUUAAUUUGAAAAUAUCCUCAAAUUAAAGCUGACAGUCUGCACUUGAACCUCAUAGUCAUUGUAUCAUUUCAAAUCCAAAGUGCUGGAGUACAGAGCCAAAACAUCAACAAAUGUGUUACUGUCCCAAUACUUUUGGAGCUCACUGUUUAUAAAUACUGUAUAUGCAAUUUAUUUUCCACCAACAGGUUUCUGUGCCAAUGCACCAUACAACCAAUAAGCAAAGCAUACCAACUUCGGGCACUUCAACAUCAAGGUUUGCAUUUUCAACACCACAAUCAAAUAGACCAUGUCAAUCUCGACAAACAGAAAAUACUUCCCUCCCUACCUACCUUGUCCCCAAUAUUGAAGGCUUGGCUAUAUGGAGUACCACCGUAUGAGUCAUAAAACCCGGAAAAUGGUUUCAAUCGUUAUUUCACCAUUCAUUUUUCCAUAUGGGAUUUUAGAACUACUGUAUAUAAGGUCUGUGUUUCAUGUAGGUUUACCCUGUCAUUACGUUUUGAUAACCGCGCAAAUAUUUUACUUUUAUCAAUAAUUAGCAUUGCACAUUUUUUUAGAGUAAAUUGAGGUGAAAAUAUUGACAAAACCUACCUUGUCCAAGAGAGAAUUACACGGCUAUCAAAAUGUCACGCCAAGGAAUUGUUAAGCACAGUAUUCAAACCACCCACACUAACUGGAGAUUGAACUGCAAGAAUUGAGGAUUCUGCAGUUCACCAUUGAUAAAUAUGGAUUUAUCAAUGGGUCAAAGACCCCAGCCACCCCAGUAAAGACUGUUCUCUCUACUACUGCAUGGCAAGCAGUACCGGAGUGCCAUGUCUAGGACAAAAAGGCUUCUCAACAGUUUUUACCCCCAAGCCAUAAGACUCCUGAACAGCCCUUACAGAAUUACCCACCAACAACGGACCAAGCAGCGGAGGAAGGAGAAGCGCCAGGAGAGGAGCGUUCAGGAUUCGUGGACUUGGGAGGAAAUCCUGGACGGGAAAGGACCAUGGGCUCAAGAUGGGGAUUAUCGCCGCCCGCAGUGGGAGAUCGAGGCGGCGAGAGCUGAGAGGCGCUGGUAUGAGGAAAGGGAGCGCAGCAGACACGAGAGGCAGCCCCCCAUUUUUUUUGGGGGGGGCACACGGGAGAUUGGCAGAGUCAGGCGGUAGACCUGAGCCAACUCCCUGUGCUUACCGGAAGCAGCGUGGUACUGGUAAGACACCGUGUUAUGCUGUGGAGCGCACGGUGUCCCCAGUGCGCGUUCAAA